rnacentral:rRNA from 1 species
GAAUAUUGGACAAUGGGGGCAACCCUGAUCCAGCCAUGCCGCGUGUGUGAAGAAGGUCUUCGGAUUGUAAAGCACUUUAAGUUGGGAGGAAGGGCUUUAGGUUAAUACCCCGAAGUUUUGACGUUACCACCAGAAUAAGCACCGCCCACUUCGGUGCCAGCAGCGGGGGUAAUACAGAGGGUGCAAGCGUUAAUCGGAAUUACUGGGCGUAAAGCGCGCGUAGGUGGUUCAGUAAGAUGGGUGUGAAAUCCCCGGGCUUAACCUGGGAACUGCUUUCAUAACUGCUGAGCUAGAGUACGGUAGAGGGUAGUGGAAUUUCCUGUGUAGCGGUGAAAUGCGUAGAUAUAGGAAGGAACACCAGUGGCGAAGGCGACUACCUGGACUGAUACUGACACUGAGGUGCGAAAGCGUGGGGAGCAAAC